GGAUGUUAGGGCAAUCUAGCUUCAACAUCUGUCACCCCAUUGAUCGCCAGGGUUGACUUGGCUGAUCUGGCUUGCUAGGCAAGUAUCCCCUUCCUCUCUCACUGCUCCAUGUAUGUCCCUCCAGAAACUGCAUGCCUUGUUGAAAAGGAUGACCAUCCCCAAGAAAGGAGGACCAAGGUCAAGGAUAUACGAGUAGCUGUACUCCCUUGCCAGAACCUCCAAAUAAGCUCUCAAGGACUCUCUCCUUAUAUAACUCAAUAGCAAAGGAAAAUAACCAGUUUACAAAGUGGCCAAAGGAUUAAAAUAGACAUUUAAGUAUGCUUAUUU
rnacentral:snRNA from 1 species